GAUGAACGCUGGCGGCGUGCCUAAUACAUGCAAGUCGAGCGAACAGACGAGGAGCUUGCUCCUCUGACGUUAGCGGCGGACGGGUGAGUAACACGUGGAUAACCUACCUAUAAGACUGGGAUAACUUCGGGAAACCGGAGCUAAUACCGGAUAAUAUAUUGAACCGCAUGGUUCAAUAGUGAAAGACGGUUUUGCUGUCACUUAUAGAUGGAUCCGCGCCGCAUUAGCUAGUUGGUAAGGUAACGGCUUACCAAGGCAACGAUGCGUAGCCGACCGGAGAGGGUGAUCGGCCACCUGGGAACUGAGACACGGACCAGACGCCUACGGGAGGGAGCAGUAGGGAAUGUUCCGCAGUGGGCGAAAGUUUGACGGAGCAACGGCGCGUGAGUUAUGAAGGUCUUGGGAUCGUAAAACUCUGUUAUUAGGGAAGAACAAAUGUGUAAGUAACUAUGCACGUCUUGACGGUACCUAAUCAGAAAGCCACGGCUAACUACGUG
rnacentral:rRNA from 1 species